UCAAAGAGAACAAAACAGUUCUUCCCCGUUAAAACAGUACCACCAUCUCAUCCACCAUGAAAACCCAAAACCAGCAAACUAAUCUUCCAUUGCUGUAGACGAACAGCAGUUACCCCCUCUCCACCUUCAGAACAAUACAAUCCCUUUUCUUCCCUGUUGUCUUCUUCCCAAACUCAUAGCAGCAGAAGUUACUAUUGAAGAAAAUCCGAUCUGACACCAAAACCAAAAGCAUCGGUAAUGGAUCUGAUGUAGAGGUUAUGAAAUCAAUUGGGGAAAGAAUGAUAUAACAGUAAAGAUAUCAACAACAAUAACAAUGGGUGAUGGAUGUAUUGAGAUUGACUAUGGAGAGUAACGAAGAAGAAUUAGGGAAACUGGAUUGAUCUACUAGAUCCAGAAGACGAAAGUGAUGGCGGUGGAGGCGGUGCUGGGUUUGGAGAGUAUAUACAGAUGGAGGCAGAGAAUAAAGUAGACUCUAGGUUUGGUGAAGGCGGAGGAAGAUGAAGUGAAAUAUUGGUGGCCGUCCGUAUGAACCUCAUAUCAAUGGUUAAGAUAAAAUUACAUAAAAUUGAUGAUUUUACUAAAUUCAAAUUAGACUUAACCUAGUCAACUACGGUCAACCGUCAGUCCAGGUACCAACCCCUAACGUUGGACAAAUGUUAGACCAAAUCCUAGUGUUAAUCAAAACCUGAGUACCAAGCAACAAUUAUCCUUACUUAUGUAAUUGAUAGUAUGCUCUUGCACUUUAUGAAUGUCGUACAAGAUAAUAUUUGUGUUUUCUCUUUUUAUAUUUAAACCUUUAAGUUUCCACGGUAUUGCC